rnacentral:rRNA from 1 species
UACAGGGGGGGCAAGCGUUGUUCGGAAUUACUGGGCGUAAAGGGCUCGUAGGCGGCCAACUAAGUCACACGUGAAAUCCCCAGGCUUAACCUGGGAACUGCGUGUGAUACUGGAUGGCUUGAAUUCGGGAGAGGGAUGCAGAAUUCCAGGUGUAGCGGUGAAAUGCGUAGAGAUGUGGAGGAACACCGAUGGCGAAGGCAGCCCCCUGGGUCAAGACUGACGCUCAUGCACGAAAGCGUGGGGAGCAAACAGG